rnacentral:lncRNA from 1 species
GCAUGAUUGGAUGAAGGCAAGGAAUGGAGAUCUUCAUUCCUAUUGGUCGAAUGUCAUGUCCAAUGGGCUUCAAGGAGGCUGCCUGAGGCCUUAUUAGAGAUCAGGGUUCUUUUUUCAAAGGAAUUUGAGCUUUAGAGGCUAAGGUCAGCAAGUUCAAAGUUUUGGGUAUAAUUUGGGUGAAGAGUUUAUGUGAUUUCGAGUUUUUAUGAAGGAGAUAUAAGUAUUCAAAGUUAAGGUGUCAAAAUUGUACCUAUUGUCACUCUUUGAAGCAUAACAUAUGCGUACGGAGAGCAAUGAAAGAUCGGUGACUAGAGUUGGAAAGAACACUUUUUUUUAAUAUACUUUACGUAUAUUUUUU